rnacentral:lncRNA from 1 species
ACCGAUCUCUGCGUUCAUAUCUAAAGUAAGAUCGGUUUACUUUAGAUCGAUUCAAACUAAACUACCUCUUUUGGUGUUUUAGUUUAGACCGAUUGAAGAUCGAUUCAAUGCGUUCACAUUAGCCCUUAAACCGAUCUAAAGUGAACCGGUCUAGUUUAAAUCGAUAAAAAUGUCCUAGUGUGAACGGGGUCUAACAAAUACUUUUAA